UCCGUAGGGUCCGAGCGUUGUCCGGAAUUAUUGGGCGUAAAGAGCUCGUAGGCGGUUUGUCGCGUCUGCUGUGAAAUCCCGAGGCUCAACCUCGGGCCUGCAGUGGGUACGGGCAGACUGGAGUGCGGUAGGGGAGAAUGGAAUUCCUGGUGUAGCGGUGGAAUGCGCAGAUAUCAGGAGGAACACCGAUGGCGAAGGCAGUUCUCUGGGCCGUAACUGACGCUGAGGAGCGAAAGCGUGGGGAGCGAACAGG
rnacentral:rRNA from 1 species